UUCCAGUGAAUAAGAAAUGGUUCGCUUAUAAACGUUGACUACACAUGCGACGUAUCAUAACGGAACCAAACGGUAAUGCAAUAUAUUCGGGAAAGGCUUUCUCUUAAUCUUUCAACGAAUCAUCAAACAACCGGUACUUCCGAGAUAACCAAUGGAUCCACACAUGUCGCGGACACACCAGAUACGCCUCCGAAACCUCCGGCCCGAAAAAUUCGAUAUGGUGCUCAAUUGUCAGAGGUAAUAGUUUCGCCGACAAUCUCCACUAUAUCAGAAUCAUUGAGCCAUCAAGAAAGCAUGCUGAAUCGCUCCAGAAGUGUUGAUGCAUCAGAAUCAACAUUGGGAUCAACCUAUGCUACGCCCUAUCAAAGCCCUGUUGCAUCAGAAAAAUGGUCACCGCACAGUGCAAGCACUGGUCAGCAAACCAAAUCAGAUAACGUUUAUUUACAAAAUCAAAAUCAGUUUAACGGUUAUCCGAAAACAUACUCAACACCUAUCGCUGGUGGCUACGUCAACCACUCAUUCGUCGAUGGUACCGGAAGUACUGUUACUAAUCCAGCCCAACACAGCCAGGCACAUGUCAUUCACGAGCAGUACUGGACAUGGUCUUGCAAGUGUCGACGUCAGUUAAGCAAUCGCGAAAAGAUACUCCUGCUGGUCAUAUGCUUUUUGCUGCUAAUCGUUGGUGGACUGGCGGCUUAUCUCGGCUUAUCAGACAAUGGAAACCCACUACCAGGUGGAUUGUUAACACCAGGAGUAUUACAAAUGAGAACAGCAGAAUGAGAAUGCGGCAUAGGAUUUUCUGUUCCAAUACAUUGACUGAAAUUUUAAAUAUUAUCCUUUGUUACCUAAGUGCCAUUUACGAUGAAAGUUUAAUGUAUACUAUUGCAUGUGAUGAGAGCUGAAAUAAAAAUAUCGA